GAUGAACGCUGGCGGCGUGCUUAACACAUGCAAGUCGAACGAUGAAGCCCAGCUUGCUGGGUGGAUUAGUGGCGAACGGGUAAGUAACACGUGAGUAACCUGCCCUUAACUCUGGGAUAAGCCUGGGAAACUGGGUCUAAUACCGGAUAGGAGCGUCCACCGCAUGGUGGGUGUUGGAAAGAUUUAUCGGUUUUGGAUGGACUCGCGGCCUAUCAGCUUGUUGGUGAGGUAAUGGCUCACCAAGGCGACGACGGGUAGCCGGCCUGAGAGGGUGACCGGCGACACUGGGACUGAGACACGGCCCAGACUCCUACGGGAGGCAGCAGUGGGGAAUAUUGCACAAUGGGCGCAAGCCUGAUGCAGCGACGCCGCGUGAGGGAUGACGGCCUUCGGGUUGUAAACCUCUUUCAGUAGGGAAGAAGCGAAAGUGACGGUACCUGCAGAAGAAGCACCGGCUAACUACGUG
rnacentral:rRNA from 1 species